GUUGGAACUAUGGGAUCUUUGUUUCAUGAGGGUCAAUAUUCUUUGUCCACAAAGCACUAUUUGCAUCAUGAUCACAGAAGCUUGAAUUGGCUCCUAACAAAUGUAUGUGGCAUCACGCUUCGAAUCCAGCAUCCGGAUUUAAAUAAGCUUGCCCCAUACUGUCCUUAUUUUUUUGGCUGCCAGUUUUUCUCUACGUUCCCUUUCCACAAUCAUGUGUUUC
rnacentral:lncRNA from 1 species